rfam:Toxocara canis scaffold289, whole genome shotgun sequence.
CGAGCAGUAGCUCAGUGGUAGAGCUCUCGCCUCAUACGUGGGAAGACCUGGGUUCGAUUGCCCGCUGCUUAC